rnacentral:rRNA from 1 species
AAUAAGAGAUAUUGUGAUAUCCCAACAAUAUAUCCAUGUUCCAACAUGGAACAAACUCCAAUCUUCACCUGCAACUAACAACGCUAUAAGAGGGGCUGAGCAAAGCGGUAACAUAGCCAAACAACGGUUUGCUAGGACAAGUUGGGUUAGAGGCUUGGCUCAACAAUAUGGGAGGCAUGAUAAGCAAGUGGUAGGUAUCGCAGCAUAGGCAUAGCAAAAGAGCGAGC